UCAGUCUGGCAGGUUAGUGUGGACUUGUAGUCAUUCCAUGCAACACUUUGAUACUAGAGGCAAGCCAGAUGGUGUCUCUUCUCCCAAAUACAGGCAGAUUUGGUUGCUGAGGGACACCAGAACAGGCUCAAUGGACAUCUAUUUUUAAGUCCCUCCAGACUUCAUCCAUUACCUUGUGUCUUGGAUUUCCCAGGAGGCCCCUGGCAGGGUGUGCACUGGGCACCUGGAAUCGACUCCAAGGCAGAGCUGUUGACAGUGUGGUCAGACCCUGACCAAAGUGAGAUAGGGCUUUCUGUCCCGUUUGCGUUGUUUCCUGGGCCACCCACACACUGUUUUUAACUCUAAGAACCCCUUCCUGCCCCGGGGAGCAGCAGGGUCACUCUGAGGAGUCUUCCAUCUGUCUUCACCAUCCCACACUACAGGUCCUUACACAGGAGUAAUCUAAACGACUUGGAACUCCAGAUAAGAUCCUUGCUUCCAUUAAACAUUGACAAGACCCAGGCCUGGCAACUGAGAGUGCUUGUGUGCAGCGGAACUUCUGGGAGACCAUGGCAGCUGGACUAUUAAAAAUGAAUGGGCUCCGACGCCUCCCAGGUUCUGCCUCUCAAUGUGGCAGUUCUCCAGUGGCUGGGAGGAGGAGCCAGGAGGGUUCAGAAAGGGCCAGCAGGACCUAGACCUCAAGCGACAGCAGUCUCGGGCAUCUGCUCCCUUAUAUUCCGGCUGGAAAGUAUACAGCCUCUCUGUCAGAAAGGAAAGCCUGACCUAGCCCUAUAGCAUGGCACUCUGAGCUGAAAUUCAAAAGCUGCUUCUUGGGUACUCAAAAGGUUCAUAUAACCUGGUGUGUGGCAGCACUUGAAAGCUGAGGCAGGAGGAUUGAGAGUUCAAGGCCAGUCUGGGCAGCAUGGUCUGACUGCCUCAAGGAAGGAAGGACAGUGGGAGCAGCUUGUGGUGUUUGGAGCCUGCAGCCUCCGCGUUCAGGAAGCGGAGGUAGAAGUACUGCGCAAGGUUCAAACCCACAAGGAGUUACUGGGUUAAGUGUGAAUUCCUGACCAGCCUAGGCUAGCCUGAGUCACAAAUAAACAAACACAAACUUCAAAACCUGCCCUCCUCCCCCGAGAUCUUGAUUUUUAUCAGUUGUUGGCCUGCGGGUCCUCUCUACUACUCUGUGGCCACUGCAGAUUUCUCCAGUACCUGCCUAGUGUGUACUACUAGUUGUUUGGGGAGUGAGGAAAAAAACAUAACAAAAGGCCUUUAAUAGGAUGUACACAAGGCCAGCCAAGCGAACGCAAGUGGCAGAGGAUGGAGGGCGUUGGGAGCACAAGGUACAAAGAAAAUUAUCAAGCUAUCUGGGUAUCUUAACUCAUGGUCAGCCAACAAUCCCAGUUUACAGUGAGGGAGACCGGGGCCCAGCAAGAUGGUGGCACAGCCAGGGAGUUCCAGAGGCACUUGACUUCUGGCUUCAUGCUGGAGAGCUGGGGUGGGUGGGCUGACUGUCUGUUCCCCAUGGCAGGGUAGGACAGUAUUAUCCAGUAGGUACCAGUGGGCAAGGAUACAGGACUCACUGACUCCCGCUUCUAGAGUCAGUUCAGAAUGUACUUGGAUCCAGGUAUGUUUAUGAAUUCCAGGCCUCUGAGUACCUGAAGUGUUUGUGUAACAGGCUGUGUUUAUACUGGGCUCUACUAACUUGAGUUCUAGCAAUCUUGUCAUGAACUUCCUUGAUUCCAGGAGGGCAGGGAUAAGACAUCAUUGAAGAGGGAAAAGGAGCCAAUUCUGACAUGGCCAGCCCUUUCCCUAUACCAUGUCUGCCCCAAAUAUUACCCAUGGAUUGACCCUGAUACCAAGUCACCCUUCUUUGAGGGAUCUUGAACUCCACUCCCAAACUCCUUGGGGCUUCAUCAGUGGACCAGCCCAGGGCAAAGCUGCUGGGAGUGGAGAGGAGCUGCUGGGAGCUACAGGGCCCGGUUGGCCUCUCUAAUCACAUAGCCUGUCUAUGAGAUCAUUGGGAAGAUUGGAGGAUAGGGUAAACCAGAAGCUAUGGGAGAUGAUCAACACCGAUCGAUCGAAGGGGGGAAGAGGGGAAUGUGCCAACGAGGCACUCUUAGGCCAAUCAGAUGUCUUUCAUGUAAAGAGUUCUCAGAAAAGAUAAACAGAAAUGCCUUUUAGAUUUCCUAUCUCCCAGUCCCCUCCAAAGGAUCGUCUCUCUCACUGCUAUUGGUGAAGCACUCAUGGGCUUUCACUAUAUACAGAGGAGAAAAAAAGCAAGGCCCUCAGCAGCCCUGGGGGUGUGGACUGAUAAGCAGUGUGCCAGCUGCUCUUCGAGCAGAGUGUACUAGGCACGCUUGCCCCCACCACUCCUUCCGUGGAAACCCUGGGCUAGGUACUCGGCCUGGCGAGAAUGGACAGCUGGGACCUUUAUGACCGGCUCCCUUCAUCCCUCUCCCAACAGUUCUCUGCGAAGCCCCACAGAGCUUGGUCCUCCAGCGCCUUCUGGACUUCUGUGGGCAGCUGCUUUCCCGUGCUCAUUACUGGGUCCUGGUGAAUCCAAAAUUACCCCUACUCACAAGAAGGGAAAGACACACACCCUCUAUAGCUGGAGAGCAAUUUGUCUUUGUGGUUUUAUGUAGUAGAAACAUCCCCCCCCGCCCCCCGCAAGAAACCGCUUGGCUGUGUGCCCUCUUCCAAACACACACCCAUUCAGUGCUGCAGGUUCUCCUGAGCUAGGGAGAACAAAGAGGUUCUGGCUGCUCUCCCAC
rnacentral:lncRNA from 1 species